UACGUAGGGGGCAAGCGUUGUCCGGAUUUAUUGGGCGUAAAGCGCUCGCAGGGGGUCCGUCGCGUCGUGCGUGAAAGACCCCGGCUCAACUGGGGAGGGUCGUGCGAUACGGGCGGACUGGAGGCCAGUAGGGGGAUGCGGAAUUCCGGGUGUAGUGGUGGAAUGCGUAGAGAUCCGGAGGAACACCAGCGGCGAAGGCGGCAUCCUGGACUGGUCCUGACACUCAGGAGCGAAAGCGUGGGGAGCGAUCCGG
rnacentral:rRNA from 1 species